AACAAAACUGCUUUAUUCCUUCAUUUGAGAGUGUGGUUUAUAUCUUUUUCAAAGUGUAAAAUUCCUAGAAUUGCUUAGCAAGAUGGGUAAUUUAUGAUCACGACUUGAGCACUGAGAUGGUUAUGCUAGUUAGGUACCAAGUUAUGACUGUGUGACUUGUUAAAACUUUACAAAGAUUUACAUUUACAAGGGAAAAUGUCCUUAUUUUUAGGUUAAUGAAGAAAUGGAAAAGAAAAAUGAAAUCGUUUUAAUAAAAUCACAAAAUGAAAUUGAAAAAGAAUUUCUUGCACAACGAAGCAAGAAUAGAUUGGACAGUAGAGAGUAAAAGAUGGGAAGUUUCCUCAUUUGCCUCCAGUCCGUGUAAUUUUGAAUGCUCUGAGAAGAAAGAACUUAUACCUAAGUAAUGUGAUAUAACUGUAACCAUUAGCUAAGGGAAUUGCAAGUUGUUGCUGUGCUUUAAAAACUUUCAAGUUCCUAAACCUGAAGUUUUAAAUAGGUAGUUAACGAAAUGCUUGAAUCUCUAUCAUAGAGUCCACCAGUGUAAACAAAAGAAUGUCUUAUAUAUAUAUACACAUCUGAACUGUGUACCUUUGCUUAAAUAUUACUAACAUUGUAAAAAUGACAAAUGUUUUGGUAUUUGGUAAAUAUUUUUUCAACCUGAACAGUGAAAAAGCCUACUAGGUGCCAAUAAAAAUUUGGUCGAUUUUA